rnacentral:rRNA from 1 species
UACAGAGGUCUCAAGCGUUGUUCGGAUUCAUUGGGCGUAAAGGGUGUGUAGGUGGCGCCGUAAGUCGGGUGUGAAAUUUCGGAGCUUAACUCCGAAACUGCAUUCGAUACUGACGGUCUCGAGUCCGGAAGAGGCGAGUGGAACUCCUGGUGUAGCGGUGGAAUGCGCAGAUAUCAGGAAGAACACCAACGGCGAAGGCAGCUCGCUGGGACGGUACUGACGCUGAGACGCGAAAGCGUGGGGAGCGAACAGG